UGCUUUCCUUGAAUAUUAUUUGUGGUACUUCUUGAAUUAACUUAAGAAAGUUUCCACCUACACUUGAUUUGAAAACUAUCUUUGGAACCACAUUCGAUGUGUUCUCAUUAUAAUUGGCUCUGAUCUAUGCUCAUUAAUCUUUUUCUAACAUUAUUGCCUUGAGUUAUAUGAUUCAUAUUCUUGCAAUAAUUUGACAUGCAAAUCAGAGUACAAAAAG
rnacentral:lncRNA from 1 species